rnacentral:misc_RNA from 1 species
CUGCUGUCUCUCUCUCUCUCUCUCUCUCUAGAAUUUUCUCCUUCUGCUUCUUCUUCUUCCCUACAGAGAGAGGAGGGGAAGAGAAGGCCGAAGAUGUCAAGAAGCGAAUUGAUUCAUAGUUUUUAGAGAGAGAGAGCUUUGUUGCGUGGCGUUAUCCCACUUCUCACCCAAAAAGAAAAGGAAAGGAAGGGAGGGACAAUAUUUU